GCAGAUGCCCAAAGUGGUCCCUUACCUGAGUGUGACGAUGAUGGCCGAGGGUUGGGCACAGGCGGUGAUGAGAGUGACGAUGAAGAGGAAGAUGAGGAAAGGGAUGAGCGUGUUGCAGUGCUGCAUCCAGCCAGACAGGGGUUGAAAUAGGUGAUGCCGUCAGAGCCACAGACCGGAGCGUACUCGUGGAUCCUGCAGCCACAGUUCACGUUACAACUGCCCGUCAGAUUCCUGUGGGUCAUCGUCAGGGUCGGGCUGCAUGGACAGAGACAGAAGAGGGGGCUGCUGAUCUGCUGACCACGAUCAAACCGAGAAACUUCAUCGACUCCUACCAAAAGAUGUUGUUCAGAAGCGGGAAAAAGCAAGAAACUGACCGAAAACACGUCGAAAAUGGCGGCCUUCACCUGCGUUUGGAAGUCGGAUAAUGGUCACCAGCGGAUGAAGUUCAGAGACGUUCACAGACACACACACACACAGGUGGUGCAGAGGUCUGACUGGACACCUUUACGAGAGGACUUCAUGGAUCUCCAUGUGAGUCAGCCGAGAUCCCAGAGUUGGUGGACGUCACCAUCGACAAGACACUGAAGAUGAUGGACUGCAACCAGGAACAAGCGGGCUGGAUGAUCUUCAGACUAAAGCUAUGAGAAACUUAAGAAGACAGUUCCGUUCGAGAUCGACUUCGGCUGCUUCCGUUUCACGGGAUGGUCAAGUAUAAACAAAGUGCCAUCACGUCGGACACAUUUUACCUCCCCUAGUGUGACUGACCACACGCCGUUUGACUAGUACCAGUUCAUCGAGGAAAACUGAACAGUUGUUCUUUUUUAUGUAAAGAGUAUGUCUCAAUGUCAGACUGUUUUGUAAACCUACACAGUGUUAACGGAACUGAAGUUUAAGUUUACAGAAGUCCUCUGACACUCAUGAAACGAAAUCUAAAUAAUGUCUGUAAAUAUGAAAACAUGUAAAUAAAACUCUAUACCGAUGUUGUUUUAUUUAAUCUUCACAAUAAACAUCUGACUGCUAAAAAAAGA